UGCAAAAAUCUCUCUUCUUUCUCUUUCUCUUAUCUCUUUCUCAUCUAAAGACUGCAAGUCCUUCUCAUUCAUGCUUCUCUUUCUUGCUCAACCUAAUGGCUAGAUCUAGCUCAUCCUUUCUCUUGAUCAUCUAAAUAGCUUUGUUUAUUAGAACGGCUAAAUUUGUGGCUCUUCCACCAUUCUGAUCAAGUAUUUUGUUAUUUUUGUUAGAUGUUGGCUGAUCUACAAUUGUAUCAAUAGCUCCUUUGGUUCUGAUGAUGCUGGCUGAUUGUCAAUUGAGCUUCUAAUGACCUUGUUUUGUUGGCAUAAAAAAAGGCUAGAUAAGCUCGACAACGGGAUUCAUGAAGAAAUUGACACCAAAAACGACAUUUUAGAGCCCCAGGCACUAUAGCAACACUAGAGUGGCUUGAAGCACGAAGACUAGAUUGAGUCAAUCCCACAAGUGCCCGGAUCGUCAAGUAAUAACCCUUGUGCGGGCACAAGGGGGUCAUAUUCCCAAGGCCCGAGAAGCUACUCUUACUUCC